UACGUAGGGGGCGAGCGUUGUCCGGAAUUAUUGGGCGUAAAGAGCGUGUAGGCGGUUCGGUAAGUCUGCUGUGAAAUCCUGGGGCUCAACCCUGGACGUGCAGCGGAUACUGCCGGGCUAGAGGGGGGUAGAGGCGAGUGGAAUUCCGGGUGUAGCGGUGAAAUGCGCAGAUAUUCGGAGGAACACCAGUAGCGAAGGCGGCUCGCUGGGCCACAACUGACGCUGAGACGCGAAAGCGUGGGGAGCGAACAGG
rnacentral:rRNA from 1 species